rnacentral:rRNA from 1 species
AAAAAUAAAAUUAAUUUUAAUUUUUUAAGUGAAAUUUUAAAUUUAAUUAAUUUUAUAACAAAAAUUUUAAUGAAGCUAAAAAAUUUUAAUAAUAAACUAGGAUUAGAUACCCUAUUAUUUAAAAAGUAAAUUUAUAUACUUGAGUAGUAAUAGAUAUGAUCUUCAAACUUAAAGAAUUUGGCGGUGUUUUAGUCUAUUUAGAGGAACCUGUCCUGUAAUCGAUAAUCCACGUUGGACCUUACUAAAAUUUGUUGUCAAUUUGUAUAUCGCCGUUAUCAGAAUAUCUUAAAAGAGGAAUAAUUUUCUUAAUUUAUAAUUAUAAUUGAUGUCAGGUCAAGGUGCAGUUUAUAUUUUAGUAGAGAUGGGUUACAAUAAAUUUAUUUAUACAUUAAAUUGUUUGAAAUAAUGAUUUUAAGGUGGAUUUAAAAGUAAAA